UACAGAGGGUGCGAGCGUUAAUCGGAAUCACUGGGCUUAAAGCGUUCGUAGGCGGGCUUGCAGGCGCGUUGUGAAAGCCCCCGGCUCAACCGGGGAACUGCUUCGCGAACCGCAAGUCUUGAGUCAAGUAGGGGCGGUCGGAACGAUAGGUGGAGCGGUGAAAUGCGUAGAUAUCUAUCGGAACGCCAAAGGUGAAGACAGGCCGCUGGGCUUGUACUGACGCUGAGGAACGAAAGCGUGGGGAGCAAACGGG
rnacentral:rRNA from 1 species